rnacentral:sRNA from 2 species
AGAUGCCAUGCGUACGCGCCGGUUCCUGGGCACCGUCGACACCCGCCUGUCGACUGCUCGCUGCGGUUUUAGCU